GACGAACGCUGGCGGCGUGCUUAACACAUGCAAGUCGAACGGAAAGGCCCUGCUUUUGUGGGGUGCUCGAGUGGCGAACGGGUGAGUAACACGUGAGUAACCUGCCCUUGACUUUGGGAUAACUUCAGGAAACUGGGGCUAAUACCGGAUAGUAGCUCCUGCUGCAUGGUGGGGGUUGGAAAGUUUCGGCGGUUGGGGAUGGACUCGCGGCUUAUCAGCUUGUUGGUGGGGUAGUGGCUUACCAAGGCUUUGACGGGUAGCCGGCCUGAGAGGGUGACCGGCCACAUUGGGACUGAGGUACGGCCCAGACUCCUACGGGAGGCAGCAGUGGGGAAUAUUGCACAAUGGGCGGAAGCCUGAUGCAGCAACGCCGCGUGCGGGAUGACGUCCUUCGGGUUGUAAACCGCUUUCGCCUGUGACGAAGCGUGAGUGACGGUAAUGGGUAAAGAAGCACCGGCUAACUACGUG
rnacentral:rRNA from 1 species